AAAAAAUGAUUGGAUUAGUUUCCAAGUGGUUCUUAAGAAGAUGUCACUUGGCAUGCUUGAUGCAGGCAUAGGAGAAACUAAAGUAAAUACAUCUGCCCUCAACAUACCUACACUAGAGCAUAAAACUUUGAAACGUCAUGAAAGCAAAUCAUCAGUAUCUGCCACGACGGACAACACCAC